CCUACGGGUGGCUGCAGUGGGGAAUAUUGGACAAUGGGCGAAAGCCUGAUCCAGCCAUGCCGCGUGUGUGAAGAAGGCCUUCGGGUUGCAAAGCACUUUCAGUGGGGAAGAAAGCCUUGGGGCUAAUACCCUCGAGGAAGGACAUCACCCACAGAAGAAGCACCGGCUAACUCCGUGCCAGCAGCCGCGGUAAUACGGAGGGUGCGAGCGUUAAUCGGAAUUACUGGGCGUAAAGCGCGCGUAGGCGGUCUGAUAAGCCGGUUGUGAAAGCCCCGGGCUCAACCUGGGAACGGCAUCCGGAACUGUCAGGCUAGAGUGCAGGAGAGGAAGGUAGAAUUCCCGGUGUAGCGGUGAAAUGCGUAGAGAUCGGGAGGAAUACCAGUGGCGAAGGCGGCCUUCUGGACUGACACUGACGCUGAGGUGCGAAAGCGUGGGUAGCAAACAGGAUUAGAUACCCUUGUAGUC
rnacentral:rRNA from 1 species